rnacentral:tRNA from 1 species
GUGGUGAGUAUCCCCGCCUGUCACGCGGGAAACCGGGGUUCGAUUCCCCGACGGGGAG